rnacentral:lncRNA from 1 species
AUUCAAAAUAAGUGGACCACUCUUUUAGAAAAAGUUGUUUAAAAUAUGAUGUAACUCUCCUCUUUUUGAGUACAAAAUUCUCAGUUUUCAAAGAUUUUGCAUAGAAGAACUAUACAAAUCCUUGGUAUUUCUAUUUUCUUUUCUACAUCAGUAAACUGACCCCUUGUCUGAGGGAGGGUUGUUCUCAACCUGAUAAUAACAAACACAGGUCAAAGUAUGGCCUUUUACACAGGGCUUUGAUACAGACCAAACAGCAGGCUAUAAAGGACCCCAAAAAUAUUAGCGUACACAAUUCGAACAGGAAAACCAACGAUCUAAUUUAUAUAUAUCAUGUAUAUCCAAACGGGAAAAUACCAAUGAACAACAGCAGUCAGCAACAAACACUAACUGCUGAACGACAGGCCCCUCAAUCAAUCAGGACAGGUGCAUAAACAUGCAGCGGCUAUUGAUAGUUUUGUUUCGCCAGCAUACAAUAUAAUUGCAGUUGAAGGCAAAUCCUUCAGAAGUUCUUUGUACUUUAUUCUAACAACGAAUAUUUUUUGAUAGGGAAUAUAAGUAU